rfam:Nicotiana attenuata strain TT scaffold02773, whole genome shotgun sequence.
AAGAUACGAACCCACUAGACUAGCCAAGGAGACUGCCUGGUGAUCAAACAAGAAUGCUGGUAAUUGUCACAUAAUACAAUACUUUUAGCCUCUAAGAAUGAAGCAGGCAAGUCAUCCUUGGCUAUCAAAGGGAUUCUUAUCU